rnacentral:rRNA from 1 species
UACAGAGGUCUCAAGCGUUGUUCGGAUUCAUUGGGCGUAAAGGGUGCGUAGGCGGCGGGGAAAGUCUGAUGUGAAAUCCUGGGGCUCAACCCUGGAACUGCAUUGGAUACUUCCUUGCUAGAGUACUGGAGAGGAAACUGGAAUUUACGGUGUAGCAGUGAAAUGCGUAGAGAUCGUAAGGAAGACCAGUGGCGAAGGCGAGUUUCUGGACAGUUACUGACGGCUGAGGCACGAAGGCCAGGGGAGCAAACGGGA